AUGACUUUUUCUCAAUCUCGAUUUUGGUGGAUUUUGUUGGUUGCUUUUGUUUUGCUUUCAGGAUUCACAAGCAGUGUUGAUCCUCCAGGGUAUAAGUGCACCUCUAACACAUGCACAAGUGAUCAAGAGUGCAAUAAUUAUUGUACUUUCUUUCGCUAUAAAAGUGGUUCAUGUCUAGAUCCCCAACCUAAGCGUUGUUGCUGUCGUACAUAA